UAACAUCUAAAACCCUAGGGGGGACUUUGGGGGAGCAGCAAGGCAGAGAACGGACUACCCUAGGACAACCGCCUCCCCCUCCUGAACUUUUUGAUCUUCUUUCUUUGAAUCUCUAAGGGACCAGCAGAGAAUUCACCUGAACAUAGGGAAAAGAGUGACGAGAGGGAGAGAAAUAGAGGGAACGAUAUAGUGAGAACGAGAGUGAGAAGGGAACGACCAGAAUUUCAUUAAAAGAAAUGGAAAAACGCUACAGAGAGGCUACGUGAGUUUGAUCACGCACUAAAAAAGACGAACGGAAGUACUGUCCUUCAAAUUUUGGUUUUAAAAAUGGAGGUCACCCGAGGUUGUGUUUGAUUCGAGGUUUCCGGUCCGGGUUCGUGAGCUUGAAGCAACCGUUGAUGUGCACUUGAUUUGGAUCUCUAUUGUUUAAUAUUUAAUAUAAAAGGAAGAUUCGUCAAAGUUUCUUUGAUGUCGAUGAAGAAAUCUUGCUCACAAUUUUGGCAAUAAGGGGUUGCCACUGCAGCACCGAAAGCUUCUUCGUAUCAAGAGGUACCCAACUCUUUUGCUUAUAACAUUUGUUGGUACCUCUAAUGUUCCAAACCAACCAAGACAUCAGGUAGAUUUGGAUGUACCACAUGUAGAUGGUACUGACAAAUUAGCCAUCACUGCUACAUUUGUCUGUUGGCUUGAUCUUUGCUUACCAGGUGACAUAACUAUUUAUGCAUAUUUCAGGGGUAUGCCAUUUAUUUCUGUUACUUUCUUCCCUUUAUCAUGAUUUUUUUGCUGGCCUUCUUCAAGAAUUGGUUCUGCUUCUCUACUCACAUCAUCACAUGUAUUAAGCCCUUGUUGAUUCAACAUCAUUGUCUUCCCCUGAAUAACAUUGUGUGUAGGAGCUAACACAACUCCUGUAGUCUUCCAUACUUGCUUCACAGGCUAUGGCCUACUUCUUUAGGCUGUUGAACUUGAUUUACCUCCUCUUUGCAAGCCUUUGUGCAGUCAUGACUAAUUUUUAAGCACUUUAUUUCCAUGAAAUCUGUCAUAAAUAAACUCUAUGAACUUCCCCACUAAUGCCCCGCAUGGCGCAUUGGAGAAGGUGUUUUCGUAUGGGCCCGACCCUACUUUGUAUAAAUACAUAUAAAAAUGUGAUUUUAUGGACUUUUGACACAUCUUAGACCUAA